GUGCAGGGCUCCUACUUGCUUAAAACCGGGGGUGAAUAGUAAAACUCUUGGCCGGGGGACGACCAGUACCAGUACAAUUUCUUGGGCUCCUGACGGUCCCUGAACAAUAAGCACCGGCUAACUACGUGCCACCAGCCGGGUCAAUACUUAUGGUGCAAACGUUAAUCGAAAUUACUGGGCCUAAAGCGUGCGCAAGCGGCCCGGUAAAACCGAGAUGAAANCCCCGAGCUCAACCUGGUAAUUGCCUUGGAGACUGCACGGCUUCCCUCUGUCAAAGGGAAAUUGAAUUCCAUUUGUAACAAUGACAUGCGUAAAGAUGUGGAGGAACACCGAUGGCGAAGGCUGCCCCCUGAAACAUUAUUGACCCACAUGCACAAAAUCCUCGGGAGCACACAGCAUUAAAUACCCUGCUAAUCCACUCCCUAAAAAAUAUCCACUAUUUGUCCGGUAUAUUUACUUAUUACCCCCCCUAACGCCUCAAGUAGACCGCCAAGCACUACAACUCACGCAUAAACUCAAA
rnacentral:rRNA from 1 species